rnacentral:rRNA from 1 species
UACGUAGGGGGCGAGCGUUAUCCGGAUUCACUGGGUGUAAAGGGAGCGUAGACGGCCAUGCAAGCCAGGGGUGAAAGCCCGGGGCCCAACCCCGGGACUGCCCUUGGAACUGCAUGGCUGGAGUGCGGGAGGGGCAGGCGGAAUUCCUGGUGUAGCGGUGAAAUGCGUAGAUAUCAGGAGGAACACCGGCGGCGAAGGCGGCCUGCUGGACCGCGACUGACGUUGAGGCUCGGAAGCGUGGGGAGCGAACAGG